rnacentral:pre_miRNA from 7 species
CGCCUGGCUUGGGAGGCGGCCUCAGCCUCAGGAGUGUAAGACCCCCGAAGGGAGACCCUCACACAAGCCUCGGGAUGUGGCACGGACCCAAGAGAGACGCGGAGACUG